AGUAGAGGAGCCUAUUCAAGGACACCCAGCCAACCUGCAGCAGGACAGGAAUGAAACCCAGGCCCCUGGGUCCUGGACCAGUACUCUAACAGGCAAACAACACUGCCUUUCUGAAGCUAAGGAAGGAGGAAGUUUGCUCUGUUUUUGAAGUAGGAAAGCCUUCUCUGGGAAAUGGAUUGCUUAAAGGAAUGCCAAGUGUUUCCCCAGGGCCCACAGGCUCUCUCCCAAAUAAACCUAGCUGUCGGAAAAAUGGACUGAUAGUUUAGGAUCCAUUCUGCACCAGGAAGACUGAUCCAGCAAAAGAAGGCUGGAGGACACUUCUCAGAGCCAAGAGGAGGAAAUGGAAGCACAGAAAAGUUAAGUGACUUUCCCCAGGUCACAAAGCAGGCAUGUGGCAGAGCUGGCACAUCUUCUCCAGGAGACGUUUCCUGAUUAAUUCCUCCUCAAUCUCAGUCUUAUUCCUCCAACUACCAACCCAGCACUUUGAACAACCACACACUUAUGCAUUCACCACUGCACACUUUUGUAGACACCCUGCUUCUUAAGCACUCACUGAAAUAUUGGCUUUCUUUAUUCCUGUUUAUUAUUUUAGUGUGUCUCAUUCCCCCAAUCCAUCCCAAGCUCCUUGAGGGUAGGGAUUUGGCCUACUAAUGAUACUGAACUUUCCCAAAUGUUUAGAAUGGUGUUCUGCCUGCAACAGGCACUCAAUAAAUACUAUUAACUGAGGUGUUCAGCCCA